rnacentral:tRNA from 1 species
UCAAGUUAUCCUUAGUGGUAAUAUUAUUUACAAUAAUAGAAGUAUUUGUGCAAUUCAAAUUGGCUUGA